AAUCACUUGUCUUUUAAAUGAAGACCUGUAUGAAUGGCAUCACGAGGGCUUAACUGUCUCCCCUCUCCAGUCAAUGAAAUUGACCUCCCCGUGCAGAGGCGGGGAUAUUUAUAUAAGACGAGAAGACCCUGUGGAGCUUUAGACCUAAAGUAAACCACGUUUAAUGUACUAAAAUUAAUAGCAAAAACUUAGUGGACAUUUAUUUAAGUGUCUUUGGUUGGGGCGACCGCGGAGUAAAACAUAACCUCCAUGUGGAUGGGGAUACUUUCCCUGAAACUCAGAGCCUCCACUCCAAGCAACAGAAAUUCUGACCUUACUGAUCCGGUACAACCGAUUAACGAACCCAGUUACCCCAGGGAUAACAGCGCAAUCCCCUCUCAGAGCUCAUAUCGACGAGGGGGUUUACGACCUCGAUGUUGGAUCAGGACAUCCUAGUGGUGCAGCCGCUA
rnacentral:rRNA from 1 species